UAUCCACUCGACCAAAGCUUGUACGAGGAAUUGGUAUGCCUAACUAUCAUAUACAAUGCUUAUAGUUCUCAUUUGGAAGUUAUGUCAAACUCAAGGGGAGUAUCCAGAAGUAUACUCACUUAAUCUUAAUGUACUCUUUUUCCCUACGAUUAAGAGCAUUUUUCCCACUGGGUUUUUGCUACCUAACUAGGUUUUAAUGAGGCACCCAUCCUAGGCUGAUCAUAACAUUGUGAGCUCAUCUACUUGCGUCCAAAAGGCGUAUAGUUUUGACUUAAUGCAACUUCUCACUUUUCUCCUUAGUCUAUGGGUUUUUCUCCCACCUUGGGUUUUACCAUAACGAGGUUUUGUGAGUUUUACCUUUUUAUGCAUUCUUCCUUUGAUUUGAGACUCGCAUUUGCUCAUUGUGCCGACCACUUCAUUAAAUGUACUUGCUUCAUCACUGAAUACUUGAUGCACCAUUUACUUGAGUAUUUACACACUCAAGGCGGAGUGUUGCAUUCUUAUUAAAUUAGGAAUGUGAUUGUGUAAAUCCUAGUAUAUCUUGGAAUAUCUUUUAUAUUCCUAUUAAGAGUUGAUUACCUAUUAAGAGUUGUAAUCUUAAAAGGGUAAGGAAUUAACCUUCCCUGCUACCAUAAAUAAAGGCACAAUGGGGUGGAAUAGAACACACCAACAAUUACACAUCUCUCUCUUCUCUUUCUAUGUCGCACCCUUUCUCUUUCUGGCCUCCAUAAUUGUUCAGUAAAUUAUGCCUACAACAAAUGACAUAUUUAUACUUUUGGAAAAAGACUUUUAAAUCCCUAACCAUUUCUCUUCCUCAUCGUCUCUUGCUUCGUCCCCCAUUUCUCUCUUCACCAUUCUUCUCUUCUCUUAUGUUUCAUCUUUCUAUUCUAGCUUCUCCACUAACGACUAUGCUGUUUCUUCUCCUCUCUCUUGGAAACCAGUCUCAAAGAGGAUAAAAGGGGAAUCAUAGUCUUGGUUCGAUGCUGAGAAGCUUACCAGUACAAUCUCCCUCUUAAACUGCUCCCCUUUACUUGUAGAUUUGUCUUCUUUUUUUUUUAACUAUUUUUGAUUUUUUUUACUUUCAAUAUUUGGAUUCAAUUCUUUUGAUUCGAACGAAAUUAGUUGAAUUGAGGAAGCAAAUCUCUUGGUCUCUACAACUCUCCAACAAAACCAAUGACUAUGUAGCUUUCAUGAUUGUAAAUUUUCACCCUUUUUAAUUUUUCGCCAAAUAAGUUAAUUUCUAGAUUUGUUCAAUUUGGACUGUUAGAGAUUUGCAAUUUUGAUUUUGGUGUAAUGUUAGUUCACAAAGGGACUGGUGGUGGAAACAAGACAUUGGAGGUGUGGUGUAUAAAGGUUAUUUUAGGAAUAAUAGUUGGUAGGGAAAUAAGAUGUUUAAUUUUUUUAAUUUUUUAUGGUGGGUGGGAUAAUAAUAUGGGUGGGGAAAUAGGAUAAUGGGUGGGUCUAUCAGCACUAUAAAAUAAUAAGUUAAUCACAAAAAGAAUUAUUAAAACGUAAUACUCUCCUGAUUGAAGAUGAACAAAUCUCUCUUUAGCGCAGCGUCAAGAGUGUGCAAAUAACGUGUUGUAGGCCUAUUUGAUUGAACAAUAAUAGAGAGAUUCAAAGAAAGGGUGCGCAUAAAGUAUAGAGAAUUGGGUGAAUUCCGAGAUGUGAUUUCUCACCCAUUGUGCCUUUAUUUAUAGUAAUAGGGAAGGUAAAUUUCUUACCUUAAUAGGAUUACAACUAACACAUAACACUAUCUAAAGAUUGGAUAUGGUAGAAUCCUAUAAGGAUUUCCUAGGAUUUACACAAUCACAUUCCUAACCUAAUUAGGACUGCAAUAAUAAAAUCAUUUAAAACAGAUGAUAAAACCCGUACUCGUGAUUAAGGAAAUUUUGAGGUGAAGGGAGAAGUACCUAUUUGAUGUUGUUAAUGCAAUCAAUAACAUAUUUUUGUCAUUUCUCCAGUUGAAACAAAAUCCAAAUUAAUACAUAAAAAGAAAAAAAUAAUACAGUUAGCCAAAAUGCGAAGAAUUCUCAGAUUGAUUAGAGAAUCAUAACUCAUAAACCAAAAACAAACGUAAGAAAAAUAGUAAAAUACCUUUUUCCUUGUUAGUUUUUUUACUGUCAUUCUAAAAGGUCAUCAACUGGAAUUGAGAUGGAUGCUUUUGGAUUGAUCCAACACAACCGUAAGAAAAAAAGUAUUGAAAAUAAAUUAUGUAUACUGUUAAGAAAUAGUGAUGAAUACUGGAAAAAUUAAGAAAGUGAUAAAUAAUGAUGUAUUUUCGUGAUACCUCUAAUAUGAGCUAACAAUCGUAGAACCUUAAUGAUGAUUGUGGAUGAUGAUUGUGGGAGCAUGAUUUUUCAAUGCAGGAGUAAGAUAUAUUGGAAUAUGAAUACCUUAGAAGUUUGGUCAUGGACUCAAUAACUCUGAACUUAUUGAGCUACACAGAUGGAACAGCAAUGCCACUAUCAUCCUGUUCCGGAUAAGUGGGUGAAGUCCGUUGACUUUGCUGAGAUUGACCAUUCUUGUUUCGUAAAAUAUGGAAACUUGAUCUGAUACGGAAUCAACUAAGUUUCCUAUAUUCUUGGAGAUUCCUACAAUCUAGGGAUUGACAUGUGCCGUAAGUAUUCAUGCUUUUAAGUGAAUGAAAUAUCUACUCCUAGAUAUCCUCUGGAUUUUCUCGCUUAAUAUGGAUUAUAUAUCCUAAAAUGAUUUUCUCAACUACAAUAAAUACACUCUUCUGGUGUUCAUCUCUGGUAGCGCAAUCAUCACAUACUAUAUUCUAUUACCUAUUGAAGGGUAAUAGUUGAAAAAUUAAGUUCAUUAAGCAACAUAAUGCAUGCAUCUAUACAUUUUAAAACAUAACUUAAACCAUGAAAUUCAAAGCCUAGUAGUGGUGAUUAACCAAGACUCAACUCAAAUCAUAAAGAAAUGAGUUGAGAUUUCUUAUACCUUUGAAGUUCUUUUUUGCAUAAGUAAAGCUUAAUCACCCAUGAGAGGGCCUUCAUUCCUUGCAUCAUUGCUUCUUGGAUUCUAGGAUUUGGAAGUUUGAAUGGAUUCUCCAAGAGUCCCCAUGGUAGAAGACCUUUAACUUUCGACACCAAUGAUGAAUGAAGGAGAAGUGAGUGACCCUAGGAGAAAAUGAUUGCUAGCUAUUUCUCUUAGGGAGGACCAGCCUCUUAGAGGAAAGAGAGGCUUGAGAAAGCUCUCUUUUCUUCAUAGAAACCUUAAUGAGGGAUAAGGCUAUAAUGCCUCUUUUAUACUCACCAACUUUUGUGAGUAAUUUGGACCAAAAGACCAUUCCCUCAUCCUUCUCUUAUGUGGCCGGUUUUCCCAAGCUUUUGGGGUUGUUUGGGAUUCUUGAAUUUUAGUCAUUAAGUUGUCAUACAACAUAAGUUAAUGGGCUUGACAAUUCGAAGCCCAUUGGGCCUUGAGGCUUAACACUAAGUCAAGGUCUAAAACGAACUUAUUCGUUUGACUAAUUAAUAUAUUAAUUCAUCAUUCCCAUAAACAAUUAAACUAUUUAAUUGUCCUUAGUUAUCUUCAUUAUAUCCUUCAAUCAGUACCUUACACAGCCUCUGUUCUAUUAGGUUCCUUUUAGCGAAGUAGUGGGCGAUUAGUACUCUUGCUAAUCGAUUGUGAAUUGAAACUUACUUUCAAUUGUCUUUUUAGUGUGUAUACAUCUUCAGGGCUUCCACAAGCCAUGAGUGAGACCUAGCAGUAUGUCAUGGCUACUCAAGCUAACCAGAAGAAGUUGGAGUACCUAUUCAGUUUGGGAUUGCAUGGUCUUUCUCAAAUAUAAAUACUCUUGAUCACAUUGUUUGGUUUGAUAGUUUAUUCAUAUCUACUAUCCAAUAUGAUUAUAUUGAAUGUGAUUUGGAAUGACUUCCUAAAUCUCAUUCAUACUUUGGGGAGAAUCCUAGAAGAUAUCUAGAAGUAGAUAUUACUCAGGAGUUGUAAUGUAUGACAAAAGAAGUGUUGGAAAUGUGCCCUAAAACCAAUCAUAUGAUGAUACUUUACGGACAUUUCACAUGUUAAACU
rnacentral:lncRNA from 1 species